GUAGGUGGCAAGCGUUGUCCGGAAUUAUUGGGCGUAAAGCGCGCGCAGGCGGUUCUUUAAGUCUGAUGUGAAAGCCCACGGCUCAACCGUGGAGGGUCAUUGGGAAACUGGAGAACUUGAGUACAGAAGAGGAAAGCGGAAUUCCACGUGUAGCGGUGAAAUGCGUGGAGAUGUGGAGGAACACCAGUGGCGAAGGCGGCUUUCUGGUCUGUAACUGACGCUGAGGCGCGAAAGCGUGGGGAGCAAACAGGGAUUAGAUACCCUGGUAGUCCACGCCGUAAACGAUGAGUGCUAAGUGUUAGGGGGUUUCCGCCCCCUUAGUGCUGCAGCUAACGCAUUAAGCACUCCGCCUGGGGAGUACGGCCGCAAGGCUG
rnacentral:rRNA from 1 species